rfam:Hammondia hammondi strain H.H.34 contig00450, whole genome shotgun sequence.
CGGAAUGUGGCGUAGUGAAGUAGCGUUUCUACUUUGGGAAUAGAAAGUCAUAGGUGCAAAUCCUGUCAUUCGGA